CAGAGUCGUAAAAAACUCCCAACCCUAUGUGAACUUACCAUUGUUGCCUCGGCGGACCUACCCUGUAGCUACCCUGUAGCUGCCUGGCAGUUCCGCCGGUGGACUACUAAACUAUUGUUAUUUAUGGAUAUCUGAGCGUUUUAAACAAAUAAGUUA
rnacentral:misc_RNA from 1 species